rnacentral:rRNA from 1 species
CCUACGGGUGGCAGCAGUGGGGAAUAUUGCACAAUGGGGGAAACCCUGAUGCAGCGACGCCGCGUGAGUGAAGAAGUCCUUCGUUAUGUAAAGCUCUUUCAGCAGGGAAGAAAAUGACGGUACCUGAGCAAGAAGCCCCGGCUAACUUCGUGCCAGCAGCCGCGGUAAUACGUAGGGGGCAAGCGUUAUCCGGAUUUACUGGGUGUAAAGGGAGCGUAGACGGGAGUGCAAGUCAGGAGUGAAAGGCGGGGGCUCAACCCCCGGACUGCUCUGGAAACUGUAAGGCUUGAGUGCAGGAGAGGUAGGUGGAAUUCCUGGUGUAGCGGUGAAAUGCGUAGAUAUUAGGAAGAACACCAGUGGCGAAGGCAGCUUACUGGACUGUAACUGACGUUGAGGCUCGAAAGCGUGGGGAUCAAACAGGAUUAGAUACCCGUGUAGUC